AUAGAAGUUUAGACAAGAAUUCCAAGACACAGCCCCGAGGGUGAGGGGCUCCUGGUCUCGGCCGGCCUGGCUCCCGGCUCCCGAUCCGCGACCCCAGAUCUGCGACCUUUCUUCCUCUAGGCCCAGUCUGCAGAAUGGGGCUGGGAAUCUGCUGGGCACAG